rnacentral:rRNA from 1 species
CCUACGGGUGGCUGCAGUCGAGAAUCAUUCACAAUGGGGGAAACCCUGAUGGUGCGACGCCGCGUGGGGGAAUGAAGGUCUUCGGAUUGUAAACCCCUGUCAUGUGGGAGCAAAUUAAAAAGAUAGUACCACAAGAGGAAGAGACAGCUAACUCUGUGCCAGCAGCCGCGGUAAUACAGAGGUCUCAAGCGUUGUUCGGAAUCACUGGGCGUAAAGCGUGUGUAGGCUGUUUCGUAAGUCGGGUGUGAAAGGUGCGGGCUCAACCCGCGGCCGGCACAUGAUACUGCGAGACUUGAGUGAAGGAGGGGGGACCGGAAUUCUCGGUGUAGCAGUGAAAUGCGUAGAUAUCGAGAGGAACACUCGUGGCGAAGGCGGGUUCCUGGACAUUAACUGACGCUGAGGCACGAAGGCCAGGGGAGCGAAAGGGAUUAGAUACCCUAGUAGUC